GUAGCCAGUCUCCAUUACUCUCCUACAGUAACUAAUGUGUGUGUAACCAGCCCCCAACCCUCCUCCUUACAGUAGUGCCACUAAAUCCUCCUCCAGAGAAACACUUGUGUUUGCUGAUAAGAGUUAUUACUUCAGAAUCCCAGCUCUGGUGAUGAAGAAAGGCACGCGGCAUGCCUGGCGGCUCACUGCAGUAAAAGUUGUUAUUCUGCAUCUGUUUCUGAGUCGAGCAUUUGGAUCCUACAUUUCCACGUACAUUACAGUUACUUUAAAUUAAUUUAAUUUUAGCCCAACGAUGUUAACCAUGCGGUCUUCAUGUUCACCAUCGAUUUAAAAUGGCAAAUAGAUCUAAGUGUCUUGGCUGUGUUACAAAUGGUUUAACGUUGCAUUUUGUUGGUGUUUUAAUAUAACUAAUUUCAGACAAACUAUUGUAGUAGGCUACCAUGGUAGAACCAAUGGAUACAAAAAAAGAGAUCCCAUGCACCUCAAAAAUGAAUUGAUAGUUACCGGGAGAGAUGGCCAUGCCUCCGUUCUUCCAGACUUCCCCACCAUGCUUUCUGCAGUGUGCAAUGUCAAUAUUGACAUCAGUCACCAAGGAGCGACAGGUAAUGAACACAGUAUGAUGCGUAUU
ensembl:lncRNA